rnacentral:rRNA from 1 species
GAUGAACGCUGGCGGCGUGCCUAAUACAUGCAAGUCGAGCGAACAGACGAGGAGCUUGCUCCUCUGACGUUAGCGGCGGACGGGUGAGUAACACGUGGAUAACCUACCUAUAAGACUGGGAUAACUUCGGGAAACCGGAGCUAAUACCGGAUAAUAUAUUGAACCGCAUGGUUCAAUAGUGAAAGACGGUUUUGCUGUCACUUAUAGAUGGAUCCGCGCCGCAUUAGCUAGUUGGUAAGGUAACGGCUUACCAAGGCAACGAUGCGUAGCCGACCUGAGAGGGUGAGCGGCCACACUGGAACUGAGACACGGGCCAGAACCCUACGGGAGGCAGCAGUAGGGAAUCUUCCGCAAUGGGAGAAAGCUUGACGGAGAAACGCCGCGUGAGGGAUGAAGGUUUUGGGAACGUAAAACGCUGUUAUUAGGGAAAAAAAAAGGGGAAAGUAAAUAUGAACGUUUGGAAGGUAACAAAUAAGAAAGCCAGGGAUAAAUACGU